rnacentral:rRNA from 1 species
AUGAACGCUGGCGGCGUGCCUAAUACAUGCAAGUCGCGCGAACAGACGAGGAGCUUGCUCCUCUGACGUUAGCGGCGGACGGGUGAGUAACACGUGGAUAACCUACCUAUAAGACUGGGAUAACUUCGGGAAACCGGAGCUAAUACCGGAUAAUAUAUUGAACCGCCUGGUUCAAUAGUGAAAGACGGUUUUGCUGUCACUUAUAGAUGGAUCCGCGCCGCAUUAGCUAGUUGGUAAGGUAACGGCUUACCAAGGCAACGAUGCGUAGCCGACCUGAGAGGGUGAUCGGCCACACUGGAACUGAGACACGGUCAAGACUCCUACGGGAGGCAGCAGUAGGGAAUCUUCCGCAAUGGGCGAAAGCCUGACGGAGCAACGCCGCGUGAGUGAUGAAGGUCUUCGGAUCGUAAAACUCUGUUAUUAGGGAAGAACAAAUGUGUAAGUAACUAUGCACGUCUUGACGGUACCUAAUCAGAAAGCCACGGCUAACUACGUG